UCCUGUAUUUAUUUGUAUAUUUAUUUAUUGACAUACGUAUGUUGCAGGUUGGUUUUCAUGGAAAUAAAACAAAGAUAUCAACCUGAAACCUGCUGGACAGUCAGUGAAGUCAUCGUCAGCGAUGUGUUUAAUUAUGGGAAAUAUGGGGCACUUUGUCGCUCAGUGGGUGGAGCGGGCGGUGUCCUUGAAACAGCGGCUGUAGGUUCAGUUCCAGCCAGCGCCCUUUUCUGCAGGUCACGUUAGCAUGUUGUAUUUGUUUGGAUAAAGUGUCAGUGAAUCUUGUGAGUUGUAAUGAAGCCGAAUUUUGUAACGUUACCUUUGUUAAAUGUUGCUGUUGUUCAUAUUAGAGGAGGAAAAGUCUGCUAGCUGCUAGGCUAAUUUAUACAAUGUAAAAUGCCAUAGGCUUGUGCUAAUAACGUUAGCAUGUUGUAUUUGUGGGGAAAAUGUGUCCAGAUAAAGACAAGUGUUUGUCUGUGAAUGCUGCGAGUUAUAGUGAAGCUGAUUUGUGUUUGAAACUGUCUCUAUUAAGCCAUGUUUAAUGUGUGUUUAAUGUGUGUUUGAAUCAACUAAACUUUACAGCACUUCACAGAAACCCUGCUGUCGACUAGUGUUUUGGAGGUGUAACUGCAGAGCGACACAGACACACCACCACACAAGUACAAAUGUUGACAGCAGCGUAGGCUCUUCUGCACAAGUAUAAAUCCCGCUUCAGCCAACAUGAGGCGGACACCCGACUUGCUGAGCUCAAGGUCGCCUCCAGAACUGACCGAUAAAGUUAGAAUGAAACGUCUCAGUUUGACCACAGUCGUCAUGAGUUUUAAUCGCACAGUGCAGGUGUUUCUGUUAUUUUGUCCACCCCUCUUUGUGCGUGUGUAGGUGGUCUCACUCAUGAGCAGUUUUAUGUGUGUUUCAGAUGUAGUGAUAAUUCGGGUGAAGAGGAACCUGCAGCCUGUCGUUGCUCUGCAGCGUCUCCGUCUCCUCUGAGGGGAAGUUGAGUCACUCGAGUGGAGAAAAUUUCAACUUUCAUUUCUGCUUUUGUGUUUCUUCACUUCUGCCCCAAACCCAGCCUGACUCUGGUUGCAUAAGGAGAAAAUCAGAAAGUAACAAACUCCAGGGCGGAGCACAAACGAACAUACCGCAAUAAUAACCACUGUUUUCUCUGUGAGCGCAGGACUUUUGUUUCUGCAGCAGCAUCCGCUCAGUGUUUAAGAUUCUCACACAUAAACAGAAACAGGUGUUCAUUUCAAAACGUUAAAAUCCUCCUCUUCUCUUAGGUCUAUCUCAGAUCAUCAUCUGACCAAUCAGCAUAGGCGGUUUGUCCUCGGAGCAGAGACACAGGACGUGGUUGGAGGGGAGGAGCCGAGCCAACAGGAAGACAGGAGGAAACCUUAUAAGAUUUCUGCUGACCCCAGCUUUAACUUGGGACUCGACUUGAGCCUUGCUGUCUUCACUCAGGACUCGCUGGUCUUGACUUGUGACCUCCUGAGUGAUGUUGUGUUUUCACUUGUGACAAGUAUGUUGAAAAGUGUCACCAUGACCUUUAUUUUGAAGGGCCACACACACCUGCUGUUAACUGAAUGUUCAGUUUCAGGUUCCUUGUUUACACUGCUGAAAUAUUUUAACGGUCAUUUUAAGGGAGAAUCAGCAGCUGAGUUUGACCCUCGACAGACCAAAUGUUUCCUCUCCUCAGUCUGCUUUUGUUUCCAGGCGGCUCUGUGCUGCCACUUGGUGGUGAAACAUCUCACACUCUGUGGCAGGUUUCCAGAGCAGCUGACAGUGCCAACACAUCGAGUAUGACAAACCCUGCUGACCCAGGCUGUGAUCUGCUCCUCCGCUAGAAGAACCAGAGGGAGGUGACGGGAC